rnacentral:rRNA from 1 species
UACGUAGGCAGCAAGCGUUGUUCGGAAUUACUGGGCGUAAAGAGUGUGUAGGCGGUGCUCUAAGUCUGUCGUGAAAUCUCCCGGCUUAACUGGGAGGGUGCGGCGGAAACUAGAAUGCUAGAGGGUGGGAGAGGUAAGCGGAAUUCCUGGUGUAGCGGUGAAAUGCGUAGAUAUCAGGAGGAACACCUGUGGUGUAGACAGCUUACUGGACCACUUCUGACGCUGAGACACGAAAGCGUGGGUAGCAAACAGG